rnacentral:rRNA from 1 species
CCCUUAGAUGUCCUGGGCUGCACACGCGCUACACUGAUGUGUCCAGUAAGCACCUAACCUCUUCCGAAAGGAACGGGUAACCUUUGCAAAGCACAUCGUGAUGGGGAUAGAUUAUUGCAAUUAUUAGUCUUGAACGAGGAAUUCCUAGUAAGCACAAGUCAUCAGCUUGUGUUGAUUACGUCCCUGCCCUUUGUACACACCGCCCGUCGCUCCUACCGAUUGAAUGUUCCGGUGAGCUCUUCGGACUGCGCGGUCUGCAGUUUCUGCGUUCCGUGCGGAAAGUUGCGCAAACCUUAACAUUUAGAGGAAGGAGAAGUCGUAACA